UCUUCCGAGGUGCGUGACAGCCGUGACUUCAGUGGCGCGUGUACCGCCUUUCAGUUAGGUGGGACGAGCCUCUUCUCACUACAGUGGCCUCACUAGUAACAGUCUGUAUGGGCUGCCUGUCAUGCACAAAACCGCGACCCGGUGAUGACCUAAGGGGGCGGAGCCACAGAUGACAGGCGGCCUCACGCACCAACCAGCCCACCGUGCACACAACUCUAUGAGGGGGAUUAACAAAUCUUGGAGAGAGAAAAAGGCACAGAUUUAUCAAAUCCCGGAGAGAGAUAAAGCGGAGAGAGGCUGUGAUAGAAAAAUGAUGGGUUUCUAGUUCUACUACUAUGUUCUACACCUCCAUUCGUCUUCUUUAUAAGGCCUGAGAACACUCCCCCUACUCAGAUACCUCACAAUAUUCAUGAUGGAGGCUUCGGACCGAGGGCACCGGAGAAAAUGACGUGUUGACACAAGUGGGGGAGUGGCCACUUUACUUUGGGUGAGUCCCUACUACCUUCACUUCGGAAGAACCGGACCGCCCCCCAGGCCCCGUUACUACAAAAUCACCCCUUCAGUACCGCCAGUAUUCACGACAUAGAAGUGGAAUCACUUAGGGCGAGUAUCUCCCAACUGCCGCCAUACUGGAACAAAGGCCUAAUGGCAGCACUUUUUCCGGGACGGCCCCUAUACCGGGACAGCUCGGCCCAAUCUAGAGGAGACUGUCAUGGUGACCCGUGUGUUACAUUGUACAUCUUGGAUCAAUGCCUGUAACAUGGAGCCUUAUUAUAAGCAAUCUUGCGCGGAUACAUCUGGUUAGAGCAGGAAAUGUGCGCACAGAACCAGAGAAUGUUCCCCGAGGGGGAGAAAGGAAUUACUAAAGUCACUUAGAUGAACAUAAAAGUGUAUUUUAUGUC